GUGGGACACUUGGGUUGAUUCUGUACCUCUUCUCUACAGGAGGCAAGGCUGUGCAAUGGUUCAUAGACAGCCCAGCAAACGCUCUGUAAUGAGGCUUGGAAUUUCAACCUCACUGUCUUGAGCAGAGGAGAAAUGGGCAAUAUGACAUAUGGAGGUGCCACUGAAACAAAACACCCCAAAAUCUUGAGUCAACACAGUGGGGAUAGCACUCUGGAGUCCACACUGGAACUGCAGUGGGUUUGUCUGAAUGACAAAUACACUUGUGACUGGGAGUUUGGAGCGACAACCUGCAUGUCAUGCAUUUUCCAGUUUUGCUUUGCUUUGAGAGCUGCAGAGCCAUGGGAAGAAUUUAAGCAGGAAAAUGAUGGGGCCUGGACUACUGAUUAGAGAGAUCAUUCAUUCCUUGACCAACAUAAAGGAACUAAGUGGAAGAGACAUGAUUGGAACCCAGGUCAGCCCAGUAACAAAGCCUGCAUUCUGAAAA